rnacentral:rRNA from 1 species
GACGAACCGUGCGACCGUUGUUCGGAAUCACUGGGCUUAAAGGGCGCGUAGGCGGGCUGUCAAGUCUGGGGUGAAAUCCCGCGGCUCAACCGUGGAACUGCCUUAGAUACUGACGGCCUCGAGGAAGGUAGGGGCAUGCGGAACUGUAGGUGGAGCGGUGAAAUGCGUUGAUAUCUACAGGAACUCCGGUGGCGAAAGCGGCGUGCUGGACCUUUUCUGACGCUGAGGCGCGAAAGCUAGGGGAGCAAACGGG